rnacentral:piRNA from 1 species
UGCAAUGGAACAGAGACUGAGAAUGGGCCUU